CCUCCCCCGAAAAAAUUUCUGGCUACGCCCCUGGCAUAUGAUAUGAAAAGAAAAACUAUAAAAAUGACUUUAGUUGGUACAGCUUAAGUGUAAUAUGGCUAUAAGUCGGUGAGGACUAUUGACAUUGUUAUGGUCAGAAAGGAUAAGUGGGCUUCACAAAUUCAUCUUGAUAAGGCCGUUGUUGAGAUUUUAAGGUGUAUCCGGAUUAUAACUGGGCUUCGGCUUAGUGAUGUGGCUUCAGCAGAAAAGCAAAUAAUGGUUUGUGUUGGCCAAAAUUUGUGACACCAGAAUUUAUGUUCCUCUAUUCAGUAUAAAAAUAAUUUUAGGAGAUACACUCAAACCUCGAUAUAACAAACACGGAUAUAAUGAAAUAACGAAUUAUCGGUUAUAACGAAGUAAAUAAAGAAUAGUCUUGCCAUAGAUAGUGUUACAAAUAAACAUUUAUAACGAAUUUUUCGAUAUAACGAAGUUAUUUUCGUGGCAGAUGUGACUUUGUUAUAAUGAGGUUUGAGUGUAUACCAGGGGUCUCAAACAUGGGGAACGUAGACCUUUCUCUAGCGGCCCGGCUCCCACAUGACUGUCUUCGUCCAUAUUCUUUAUGUCCCUCAAAAGCGUGUUCAUAAGCUACACAGGCAUGACUGGUCUAAAACACUUUUUUCAUGAGGCACCCUAUGCGGUCACUUUCUGUCGAAACAUAACUGCGGAACAAAAACUUUAUAUCUCAGAACAGGCGUCCAGAUUUCAGUUAUAUUGGAGAUCAGUAUCACUAUGUUUCUCGAAAUGUGAUGCCGAAUUCCCUUUAGAAAUGACCCAUGCAUAAGGUAUGGGGAAAGACCUUCUUGCAACGUUAGAUGACACUUCCUUCAAACACCAACCUCCUUCACUGUCCCGGCUCUUAUGGGUCUAAAUUUCAUGACUGUGGCCCACUAGCUGAGGUGAGCUUGUGACCCCUGAGAUUUACAAAUGGUACAUAACGUUGAGCGUUGCAUUAAUGCUUCAGUCGGUGCACUUCACGCAACCAAUGUCCUGCACCGAGAUGUCUCCCAAUACACUUUCGUGAAAACACAUCGCCUAUGUUGACUGGUCCUAAAGUUUCUGCACUGUGGGAAGCACAAACUCUGCUUGCGGAAAAAUAAUAACAUUCCUGGAUAAUUGGCUUGCUGCUAAGUCUACUUGAAAUUCCAUAAAUACAAAUGCGGUACAUAGAUCGUAAUCCUUUUAUGAAUGGCCAGUCUAAUGUGCUGCCAUUAUUGGCCCUACAUUGCCUGAAGGGGUCCGGAACCACUUUUUCAAGCAAUCAUGGAUUGACCUCAGUAUUGGAGUUUAUUGCUUCACUAAUUGAUCGUCACAAAAAAUUUUUUGAAUCCGUCAAGAACUAGCAAAGUUACUAAGAUUUACCAGCACGAUUUGAGCACUUACUCUCUCUCUCGCCCCAGCGAUUGAGCUGGAAGCUUUACAGGGAGGGAUGACACGGAGGAAAGAAGCUACGUCACAUGCGUGUCAUGACCUUGAGCCCACGUCAUGAAACACUAUUGCUCUCUCCAGGUGCGAUUUCAAAGUGUGCUAGUGCAUGAACUGUGUAACACCACUCUUGGUUUAUGCCAGAUAUCGACCAAUAGGAACGAUCUGUUGUGUGACAAAAAGAUCUGCUGUAUGACAGCCCUUCAAAUAGUGUGGAUAUGGGCCUGUGUAUCAAGUGGGCACUUGAGAAAGUGGCAACUCCGCGCUCCGUUUGUUAACUCUUCUUGCCAAGCGCGACUGCAAGUUGUGGCGUAGCUGUUCCGAGCAGUGUCUUCUUUCUGCUGCUCAUGUGUUUUCGGCGAGCACGAGGGAUGGUUCAGGACCCUUGUAAGAGGAGCUUUACUAGUGUUGCACAGCUUUAGCUUUCGCUUGCAUGCAUGAAUUUUUCUCAGCAAAUGUUAUGUUGGCUGUUUGUGGACAAUCCUUCAAUACCUGGAGGUAACAACUUAUGCGCAUGCAAAUGGAUCUCAGCACAAAUGUUCACAAUUCAGUUUGCUUCAACUGGUUUUUUUUUCAGCUACUGUUUAAAGAAUGUGGAUGUUGCCAAUGAGUAUUAUACUAGUAUGGCUUGUAAAUGCUCGUAGCAGCAAUUAAAAAACAGGAAAAUAUGCAUGCUGGCUUACAGGGAAUUAAAUUUUCUUUUGUGUACCUGUUGAAAAAUACUGAAAAAGUGUGCCAAAUGCUCGCAGUCAGAGGUCGAGACUGAAAAUCGACUGCCAUUUUAUUUCAUAUUCUGUUUGGGCGGACUGUAAUGAAUAGUGUUGAUGUUCUUGUAGCAAACGUUUGUUGAUGGGAACAGGGCAGCAACUAUUGUAGCAUCAGUGAUGUCAUUUAAAGGAGUACUGACACAAAAUUUCGGAGGCGAAAUAACUUGUGGGAUGGAUGUGUGUGGACACACAUGCAUCAUCUACAAAAUAUCAAUGAAUAGUAUAGCCUAGGACAUAUUUAAAAUAAAUUUUAAAGUGUGUGUCACGCCACUGCACGUGUAACGUACCUUCAGUUAUCGUGUAAACAACCAACCGCCCCCUGCGUCACGAGUUUCUGUUGGCUGCCACGAUCCUUGGGAGCGCUCUCUCCUAGCAGACGUUUUCAAUGGAAAGGAGGGGGCAAACUUGCACGGGAGCGCAAAAGCAAUGCCUCAGAGGGGAUUAUAGCAGCACCCAGGAAACCUUCAUUGAAAAGAGUUUUCAAUGCGGUGUUUAUGUGCACGUGGUUUUGUUUGCUCACCUAGCCAGCUAUGUUUACACGAAACCCCUCUGGGUCCUGCCUCACUCGGCACUCUCUGAAACCGAAACUGCGACUUAGCACUAUAAAACCGCCUCCUAAUAAUUAACAGUCGCGUGCUCGAGCAAACGAGCUUCCCAGCCACGAUAAGUGGGUCGUUAGCUACCUAUUGCAACAGAAAAACCAAGAUGAAAAAUUUUUGUGUCAUUUAUCCUUAAGGGAGCUAGUGAAAAAAUGCAUAACAUGGGACCACCACGUUGUGUUGCGACUCAUUGCUACCAGAUAAUUGAUUCUAUUUCAAACAUACUGACGCAUAAAGAAGAGACUACAAUAUCAAAUUCGAUGCCAACACAGAAGUAUAAUUUGGCAUCGGCAGACAGGUAAAAAUGUGUCAACGUGCUAUGGGAGAUCACUUGUGCGGUUUAUGGAGGUUAAUUUGCAAUCAUUAUAAUAAUGUUUAGCACUAGUGAAGGUAUUUUCGUGCUUAAGUCAUACCAGCUGCCUUUAAUGGGGCUUGAACAGAAGAAAUCGCUCAUGGCUCUGCAAACAAGUUCCUUACAGCCGCUAAGUGUUGCACCUGUAAUGUCAGGCUGAUUUAGCAUUCUAGUUCCUAUAGUGAACUGCUGUCACUUAAUUAUUAAUUAAAAUCUUGUUCAAACAGCUUGUUAUUAACAUUUUUUUUAAUGAUUAAGCAGCAAAAGUCAGCCUCUAAAUAUUUCUUUGGAAAGCAGCAGCAAGUGUGUUUUGGGUCAGGUAAAGUAAGACGACUUGUCUCGGUUGAUGAAUUAUUUCAGGAUGGUAUGUUCUUGUAAGUUUGUGGACUGCAAUGUUAUAAGUUUAAAUCAUUUAAGGAUCCUUAAGGGCUCAUACGACAUUGCAUAAAUGCUGUGUUCAUCGCCCGUUCAUCAAGCAAUGCACAUAAGAAAGCAACCAAGAUGUCCCAAGAUGUCAAUUUGAUUUUUAUGAGCGGUUCAUCGUGUCUUCAUCAUUUAUUUUGUUGUAAUUCAAUAAGCUGCAAUUAUUUAGUUCAUGAUUACUGAUGCCAAUACUAAUAUGCACUAUGAGUGUGUAUAGGAUCAGUGUAACAGGCAGAAAGGAAAAUAGUUUAACGUUAAAAUUAGCUCUAUUUAUGCAGCAUAUUCAAAUACACAUAAAUUGCAUUGUAUGGCAUUUGGUGGUUUAAAAGUAGCUGUCACGAACAGCACAGUUUAUGCACACAAAGUGUCAAUUAUAAUUAAGGCAAGUUGUGUUGUGGUUACAGUGAGUGGCAUCAUUCCCUUACCACAAAGCACUUCUGAUUUAUACGGAACAAAGAUGCCAAGUAAUUUAAGCUUACACAGAAUAAAACUGAACGGCAAAAUGUGUAGGCAGUGCAAAGAAGCUGACAAUUUACCGUGAAGACUUUUGACUACUGCAUUUAUGUAUAUUUAUAUGGAAAUUAUGGCAGGCUUAGAUAAGAUGUAUAUUCGCGGUUGAUUCGAAGUGCAGGUAAGAUAUCAUACUGCAGCUGUCAUGUAUGAAAAUGUGGGGUUUCUUAAUGGCUUUGUCCUAGUGUCAGAUUAUUUUCUGUUACCUGAAACAUUACACUUGUAACGCAGUGAAAUGCCUGGAAUCAAUGGUUCGACGAUGAAUUGUGGGGUCGGAAACAGACAUGAUGCGAAUGGAAAAGUAGAAACACUGACCAAAAUGAGAAAGUUUAAAAACAGUAAGACAUUUCGGCUUCCGUGCACGUAGAAGUGGCCCGACAAUGCGAGCACAUAUCUGUUUUAAUAUGUGGCCGAUACACCUGGUGUACGCUAGCGGGAGAUUGCCAUCAUUCCUGUUCAGCGUUUUUCUCGCAGUCUGGAUAAGCGUUUUUCUCGUAGUCUCGAUAUAUGUCCCACAUCGUGAUUUGCGGAAAUAUUCUCUUAAGAAAAUUUUUGCCGCAGGACGUUGUGGACAUGGGCCCAGUUUCUUUACUUGGCGAUUAUGCUUAGCUUGGCCAAGUUAAUGUCGUGGUUAGGAGUAGCCAUGUGUUCCGCAAGCCCGUUGGACACGUCGUUCUUCUUUCUGACGUCAUUCAUGUAGUCUUUCAGAUAGUCUUGAAAUUUCUGCUCUCGUCGAUAUAAACAUAGUCAGCUCGCUCACGGAUAUUCAUGUCCAGUUCAAGGGCGUCACAAAAACGUCGUGUCCAAUGAACUUGCGGAACACGUGGCUACUUCUAAUCAUGAGGUUGGCUGGGCCAAGGCAAGCAUAAUCGCAAAAGAAACUGGUACUCCCGUCAAUAUCUGCGAUCCCAUUCUUAUGCAGACUACGAGAAAAACGCCGAGCAGGAAUGAUGGCAGUCACCCACUACAAUGUACGCCAGGUGUCUCUGACAUGUACUAAAACAGAAAUAAGCUCGCACUGUCAGGCACUUUUAUAUGAAUGACAGCUCCAUACAGAAGCCGGAACAUCUUACACUGUUUUUAAACCUUUUCAUUUUUGCCGCCAUUUCUUGUUUUCCUUUUCUCAGCGAUGAAAUGCCUGCUCAUUACAUUUCAUUAUGCAUGUUGCUGAUGUAUAUAUACAGAAUCGCUUUGCAAAUUGUGGACCUCAUUGUCACGUUGAAAUCUCGCUUUUUUGCUGGACAUUAUUGAUUGGUCAUGCCUACUAAAUUAAAAAUGAUGUGCUGCGGAGGUGCACAUAAAUGAACAAUUACAAAGCAUGAAGAAACGGACACAGGCUUGCAUCCUAAAAGAUUUCAUUCAUUAUGAUGUGCAGUGCAAAAAACAAAGCAGAGACAGGAAAAGAACAAGUAUAUGACAUGGGCUGGCGCUGACUUAUAAAUGUUGCUGUUUUAUGUCCCAAAACCACGAUAUCAUUUUCAGGGACGCCAUAGCGGAGGGCUCCUGGAGCUUCGACCACCUGGCGUUCUUUAUCGCGCACCUAAAAAUAGGUAUAUACGUGCCUCUAGCAGUUUGCUUCCAUCCAAAUGUGGCUGCCGCAGCCGGGAUUCAAUCCUGCGACCUUCGGGUCAGCAGUCAAGCAUAAUCUAUAGACUGCUGCAGGGGGGUAAGCUGUGCCAGCUUGCAACUAUUGUGUUUCAGCAACACGAGGUGAUUUUUAAACUUGCGACAAAAAAAGAAGGCACGCCAAGUGCCCAAGACAGCAACUGCAUUUCAUUGUCUUUGAUAUUCAAAAUACUAGCACCUAAAUGCUGUAGAACACUUCCUUGCAUCGCUGUGCAUGCCAUCUUCACCAUAUGUUUAUUAUAUGUGACGAGGUAAAACAAAUUAAACUUAGUGUUUGCCAAGGUGCGUGUGUACGUUAUGUGUUUUUUCCGUUUGUCCGUGUGUACCUUUGCAGCGCAUCAUUUACCCUCGGCAUGCUUACUGAUGUGCAUCAUUUUGUAAUUUCUUCAGAAUCUCAACCAUAACUUUUUUCAAACUUAUCGUCAUAGGUACUGCUUUCACAAGUUCUUUGCAUGGCUAGCCAAGAAUACAGUUCAGUCCUAAUAAACUAUGGAGGAAAAUGUAGAACAUAAUUACAAUGAUUACAAACAGGAAUCUGUGGCAAAACGCAGUCUGAAGAUCCCAAGCUCAGGACUGCUUUGCCAUCUUCCUUUUCAGCAUAUUUGUCAGAAUGAGAAUGACUGGAUGUGGGACAAUAAUGUGUUUCACCUCUGACAUGCUUAAAGGGACACUAAAGGCAAAUAACAAUUUAUGUCAGAGUGAAAGCUCAAUGUAAGACAACAUCUAAAAGGGCAAUAUUAUCAACAGCAGUGCCCUCCUUACCGAGAAAUUAAGCUAAAUGUAUCACACAAUGAGCGCCACGAGCGGGAAAUUUUGGAAAUGAUCCGAUGAUGUGAGAGAGUCCAACUACAAUUAAUCACUCGUAAUCACACUAGCUGCAAUAAAAAAAGAACCUUCCGUGCAUCAAGAGACAUAAUAAAAUGUUGCUUGUUCGUUUCUGUUUGAUUCAUGGAAGAAAAUAACCUCUUUGGCAUUGCCAUGGGGAAAGGCGCGCAUGGUUCAAAGGUUCCGUUUUCGCCGAACUGCGCUUCGCCCGGCGCCCUGCUUUGCUCACGCGGUCACAUCUCAGUGGUAGUUUCGGUAUCGUGUACUGCCACGUGUGUUUUGCGCGCUCAUGAAAGUCGCUCUGACAGAAAGUUCGACAAAAUACCGCAUGCAUGUGAUGUUGCUGGAUGCCCAAAUGGUGCACACCGCCAGUGCACGCCGCCGCGCAGUAAAGGCGGGCAAUGUUGGGCACGGCAACAGUGAUGUCAAAGACUGCAUUCAGGCGGGUGAUUUAAAGUGCGCUAACGUGAUGCGGACCACUGAAACAUGAUUUUAUUUCAAAAUAAGCACUUUCUUGGCACAAAAGUAGCACUACGAGGUUUCUGGAUCGCUAUUUCAAAAAGCAACGUCAACUUAAUAUUUACCUUUAGUGUCCCUUUAAGGCACUGCAUUAACAAAGUCAAGAUAUUAGGUUAUAUUGGUCACUCAAAAAAUGUGUCUGUAGGUGCACAGGAAAGGCUUGUGGCUGAUAAACUACAUGGUUAGCCAUAAGAUGUUUCUAUAAUAGUACCUUGUGCUUUGAUUAGAAACAAGGGUCAUACUGCAUUUCAAAGCAGACUUAAACUCAAUGAGAGCUGAAAACACUACUUUCUUAAGAUAUAAUGCUCCGAACAUAUAAAUAUUCUUUUUAUUCAUCAUGGUCAUACCUAAGUACCAGCACUGUGGUCUGUCUACGCACGAAAUUUCAAAACUGUCACCACAAUAGUUUUAUUUUCUCUCUUAAAAAGCAACCGUUUGAUAUUUAAAAAUAUGUAGAUUAGGCUUUCAAAAAAUAUUUUGCCAUAUUAUAUCAACUUAGUGUUGUUGGUAUAACUUACAAGUAUUUUCAUACACGUGUGCAUUGCCUUGUGAUAGGAGAGGUACCAUUUAAUGAUGACAAGAGUCCUCCCUCUUCGUCGCGGCAUAUGGCGGACCGUCAAAUAAAGAAGGCUUACUGGUGUGAACAGCGUGAUUUGUUUUCAGGCAAACAUGUAUUUCAGCUUGUGUGUUUCUUGGUUUUUUUUUUUUUUCACUUGCAAUCCCUAUCGAAAAAUCUCGUAUGUCUUCAUACGAGAUUAUUGGAUGUGGGGCAUACACGUCAUAUGAGGUUUUUCAAUAGGGAUGCCAUACAUAAAUGUUACAGCCAAGUGUUUUCCGAAAUUGGUUUCGCACGCAGUUGUACAUGCAGUCAAACUGCUCCACGAAAAGCAACCAAGUGCGAUUCUCAUUUGCAAUGUUAUUUACGCUGUUCUGCACAAACGACGGUAGCCCGUCCAGCCCAGUGGUGACACCGAGUAUACUGCCUCCAUCGUACAAUGUACUACGAGCAGGCAGCGAUAACGGCACUACCCAGAUGGCAACUGUGGGCAGGAGUGCUUCCACAGUGUGUCCUAGUUUUGAGAGUCAUUCAAACUUAUGUUUCACAUCCGCAGUUAGGAAAGCCCAAGUGCAGACGCAGAAUAUUUUCAGUGCUCUUUGUCGCCAUUUCAUUUGAGUGCCUUCAAGAAAACAGUGCUAAAAUGUAGACAAGAAAGAAAGUACAGAACGAGCGGUAUUCCUUUUUUUUUUCUUUUUGUCCGUGUUUUUAUCACUGUUUUUUUUUUCGACGCAUUCAUAAAAAUGAGCACGCGUUCAAAUUCUUUUAAAUUUGAACGUGUCUUUUCAGACAUCUGAGCUCCCAUGUGCUCCUUCAAAAUAUGUUACAAUACCGAAUUUGCGCCUUCCAUCCAAUUAGGCAAGGCCAUGCCCCAAACUCCCCACUGUGCAUGCUUAUGGUAGCUUUGAAGCCUCUAAAACUUGCAAGAGUGAACGUGUAUUCUGAAGCAUUUAAAUUUAGAUCAAUUCAUAAUGCAUUACCUUCAGUACACUUGUAAACACUGAAUGGACAAAUGUUGCUCAGGCUUGCUUGUACAUUUUUAACAUGUUGCUGCCGUUAAGGCCACCAUAUUCCAGCAAUGGAUUGCGUUCUGUAGGUGUACCGAAAUGUAUAGUGUAUUUUGAGUGAUGCCACUUAUUUUUGUCUUCACAGUACAUCACAUUUCCAUUUAGCGACUACUGUUUUUGCAAGCAUUUCUGCUGCAAAAAAUGUAACUGUUACUGUGGCUGUGUCUUCCAUGUACGAUUUAGUGCUGCACAGGUCAGUUUUCAAAACAGCUGCACUCACCUAAUGUGGUAUAAUCUGUUGAACCCUUCAAGUUUCCUUCAAACAUCUCCUUGUGGUGUGAAAUACUGCAGUCAGCACAUGUCACGAUGUUUAUUGAGAUUUCAUUAUCUAAUGGAAAUGGGAAAGGUUGCGAUCACUGACAUUGAAGCCAAGAUCACUGGUAUGAGAAUCAUAAUUUUGAGGACUUUUGCCGGCAGUAUUCAAUGUAAAUACAUCCUGACAAUGUUCUCAUUAGGCAUUCCAAUUGAAAAUGCACUUGUUGUAAACACUAGGUUUGUGCGUCGACAUCUGUGGGACUCCAAUGACCAGAGUGAAGCAUUCUUAAGCAAAUGACCUCUCCUUGUUUGUGCUUGUGAAGUGGUAUGGCUCUGUAGGUUCUCGUUCGUGAUCACUUGCUCGUUUUCAAUGCACCACACCUGUUUAUAUUGCAACAGUAGAAAUAGAUCCCUCUCAUCACAUUGUUUUAAUCACUUUUUGUGACAGCGAUAGCUCCACCCUUAACAACGCUUGCUGUUAUACCCAACAAAUUAUCGGAAUACGAAACUUGUGAUGAUGCCAACUAACGUAAUGCCAGCAUAAACUUUCGAAUGAUUGCUGUCCGUACCGCUAUUUAGAGUGACAAAAUAUAGCACAUGCUUGGAUUUAAUGAAAUUGGGUACUGCGCUGUACUGUUAGAGAGGCUUGUGGCUCACAUGUGAAAAAGUGCACCGAUAUAGUACUGUGCACCCACCUCCACCACCAUUGAAGUGCAACAUUCCACUUUGUUGAAACGUAGUUCAACAAGACUCACUGCGCUGUACACACACUCGUGUUCGUACUUGUCUGCACCAGUGGCGCAUGCGUACGCGCCCCCCACCUGGCUUACUUAACUCGUAAUGUGGCAGCCAGAAAUGCGCAUUAGAAUGUCAGUAAAUGAUGAGCUCCAAAAGCAUUUAUAAGUGCUGUCUACUAAAUGACUUUGCCAUCACAAGCGAUAUCGUCUUCUGGUUCAUUAAAGACGUGCUGUUGGUGAACAUGUCGCUCAACCCAAUUUCUCAAGUACUGAGCAUAGCUCGUUGAAAGCUAGCUCCUGCACUAUUGUAGCGGUCAACCUGCCAUGUCCCUCAAGUUGCAGUGUACUUGGGCGACUCGAUGCGUUGCCACUUUGUGUGGAGCUUUCCUAAGUAAACAGCCAAAAUGUAGAUGAGAGCACGCUGCGAUGCAGUUAUUGGUCAUCCGACCUUGCAGCGGCUUGAGCAUUCACUAGCGUCACUUUUUCUUACUGACAUCUUACAACAACGUUGCUAGCGCAAAGCCUCUUCAGCCUGACAACAGUUUCCACACAGGGGUUAUUUGGAGGGUGCCGAAACAGCAGAUGAUCUAAGCAGAAACAGUGUGUACAUUCAUCAAGGCCUAGAAUAUGAGAAAUUUCUGAGUGCUUUAAAAACGCUUGUGUGGCCGAGGACGGCACCACGGGGCACGGUGGGGGCGGUACGAGGCGCUGGCACAACGCUGCUGUACAUAUAUACAUGUUGUAUAGAUGGUUAGGUGGGUAGGAAUGCGUUUUCGUUUUGUUGUUGAUCUCUUCCAUAACCUGCCCACGCAUAAAUAUAUACAAAUGUUCACAAGUGCGGUUUUGCUCAAAAUGGGAACUCUCGGGAGAGGAGGCAGAUAUGCGACAUGCAAGUUAUUUUAGGCCAGUGGGAAACCAAGGGCAGUACACAUUCUUUACCUUUUCCCAAGUGCUGUGCUUUUUUUUGUUGUUGUUUUGUUUCUUUGCAUAUGUGUGUGACUGUACAAAGCAUUACUGAGAAGUUGUCACAAAAGCAAAUUAUUGUAUUUGUAAAACACUGCAGGAGCGCCUUUAUUGUGAGAGAAACAGAAGAGAAACAAAAAAAAAUCUGGAAUACAAAAUUUUGCUUUAUCUCAUUUCCCUUUUUGAAAUGCUAUGGCACACGUCAUCUAGUUUUUGAGAAGUUGUGGAAAGGUGAAUUUGCUGUGGACAUUGCUUAUUGUAUGAAAUAACCAUGCAAGUGACGUUGUAAACACAGAUCUAUGCACUGUGUCGGUGUGUUGUUUUAUCUUGGUGUUUGUCUCACCUGUGCACCAUGUGUCCGAGCAGGCUUUUGUUGCUUUGUUUUCCUCUCUUCCCUCAUGGGAAGAAAAGCACUUCUGUAAAUAAAUAUUUUGUCACGUAGGA